UGACCCGCGUGCUGGCUCUGGCGUCCGGGCUCCCGGGCGUCCGCGAGAAUCCCAUUAUGUAGUUCAGGCUGACCUUGAACUCACUAUGUAACCCAGACUGUCCUCUAACCCUAGAGGAUCCUCCUGCCUCAGCCUCCCAAGUACUGGGAUUACAGGGAUGGAACUCGGGUCCUUGUGCUUGCGCAGCAGGCGGCGAAACCACUGAGCUAAAUCCCCGGCCCUGUUUAACUCUUUUGACUAAAGAUAAUCAUUCUCCAAGUUAUUUGUUUUGGAAAUAUUACUUCUUCCUGUAUCAGAUUUACCUUAAGGUAAUUCCAGUUCUCAUGGGCUUCCUCAAGAUGUGGAUGGCAUAAAGGACACAGAUACCAAGAAGAGCUCACCAUCAUGGCUUUCCUCACGAUAGGCUGCCCUGCUUUCUCCAGAUGAGAAGAACCUGGAAUCUAACUCCAGAAGGAGAGAUGAGCAACCCAGAACCUGCUAAUGCUUAAUUGGUGAGCCACCUUUGGAAGCAGGCUACCCAGAAACAGAAGGAGGAUCACCUUGAGUUCGAGGCCAGCCUGGGCUACAUAGUGAGUUCGAGGCCAGCCUGGACUACAUACAUAGCAAGACCCUGUCUCAAAAAGACCAAAUAAAUAAUAAAUGAAUAAAUAAAUGUCUGAAUUGGAAUUCAAAAAGAAAAGAAGAAAAGUAAUUCCGUGUUGUCCCCUAAGACAUUAUAAGAUUUAACUGAAAAGAAUCAGUUGACUGUCUUUUUCUUUUUUUCUAUGAAUAGAACAGUAAGGACAAAGAUGAACAGUAGUAUUUUUCUUCUGUGCAGUUCCCUUCCAUGUUUUGGGCAGUAGAGAAAGGGAGAGGCAAAUUUCUCCCCAGUCCCUCGUUUCUCUCCCUCUAGCAGGGUGUUUUCUGUAAUUGGCUUUCCACAUUUGCCAAGAGUCUGUUUCCUCUUAACAUCCAACAUGCUUAACAGAAGCCUUGUAAUAGUUCCAAAAAUGAUAAAACCAGACCCAAGAAUAAAAUGAUACACACGACACAUUUGUUUUGGCCAUAGCUUUGGUUAAGUUCUUUUAAAUAAUUUAGGGUUAAAUGUGGUAGAAAUAAAGAUGUUUUCUUCACAGUAAUAAGACCAAAAAGAUGCAGUCAGUGACUCGUGCAGGGUUCA
rnacentral:lncRNA from 1 species